rnacentral:rRNA from 1 species
CGGGGGGGGGUGCUUACACAUGGCAAGUCGAGCGGUAAGGCCCUUCGGGGUACACGAGCGGCGAACGGGUGAGUAACACGUGAGCAACCUGCCCCUGACUCCGGGAUAAGCGGUGGAAACGCCGUCUAAUACCGGAUACGACCCGCCACCUCAUGGUGGAGGGUGGAAAGUUUUAUCGGUCAGGGAUGGGCUCGCGGCCUAUCAGCUUGUUGGUGGGGUAACGGCCUACCAAGGCGAUUACGGGUAGCCGGCCUGAGAGGGCGACCGGCCACACUGGGACUGAGACACGGCCCAGACUCCUGCGGGAGGCAGCAGUGGGGAAUAUUGCACAAUGGGCGAAAGCCUGAUGCAGCGACGCCGCGUGGGGGAUGACGGCCUUCGGGUUGUAAACCUCUUUUACCACCAACGCAGGCUCCACGUUCUCGUGGGGUUGACGGUAGGUGGGGAAUAAGGACCGGCUAACUACGUGCCAGCAGCCGCGGUAAUACGUAGGGUCCGAGCGUUGUCCGGAAUUAUUGGGCGUAAAGAGCUCGUAGGCGGCAUGUCGCGUCUGCUGUGAAAGACCGGGGCUUAACUCCGGUUCUGCAGUGGAUACGGGCAUGCUAGAGGUAGGUAGGGGAAACUGGAAUUCCUGGUGUAGCGGUGAAAUGCGCAGAUAUCAGGAGGAACACCGGUGGCGAAGGCGGGUUUCUGGGCCUUACCUGACGCUGAGGAGCGAAAGCAUGGGGAGCGAACAGGAUUAGAUACCCUGGUAGUCCAUGCCGUAAACGUUGGGCGCUAGGUGUGGGGACUUUCCACGG